UACAGAGGGUGCGAGCGUUGAUCGGAAUUACUGGGCGUAAAGCGUGCGUAGACGGCUAUCUAAGUCGGGUGUGAAAGCCCCGGGCUCAACCUGGGAAUUGCAUUCGAGACUGAAUAGCUAGGGUACGGUAGAGGGAAGUGGAAUUUCCGGUGUAGCGGUGAAAUGCGUAGAUAUCGGAAGGAACAUCAGUGGCGAAAGCGACUUCCUGGACCAGUACCGACGUUCAGGCACGAAAGCGUGGGGAGCAAACAGG
rnacentral:rRNA from 1 species